AACUGUACAUAUUGCUUAUAGUUUGUUUUUUAUAACUUUUUCUAUUCGUGAUCUAAAGUCUAUUUUUGCCUGCUUUCUAGGGUGUGGAGAUAGCAGCAUCGUGCAAAAGGAAUCAGAUUUCUCGCCUUCAACGCGAAUUACCAGUUGGAGAGUGGAAAACAAUUGAUAUGUUUGCAGUUUUGGGUAUUUCUGGACAGUAUCGCCCAACAACCCAUCGAUACAAGUUGUCUUUUUCAGAAGAAACCAUGAUAACAAAAUGUCAAGUUCUAUCUGAUGAUCACUAUCAUUCUCUAGCAAGUUACGAUGAUCUAAGGAAAAUCGAUGAGAAGAAGAAUUUUUUCCUUAAAGAUGUUAUUGGACAAGUUGUAGAUCUAGAUGGAAUUCAAACUGUUCAAGCUAGGGGGAAAGACGAGCAGAGAGUUCAGUUUCGUUGCGACGCCAGGUUAAUUAUAAUCAUCAUAUAUAGUUGUUAAUGUUAUUUUUGGUAUCUGUAGUUUCAUACUAACUACAUCAAUUUGACUUUGACUUUGUUUGCGUUUCAAUCUGUAAACAUCAAGUGGUGAUGAUGUUGCGUGUUGCUUGUGGGGGAGGUUCGCGGAACAACUCGACCAAGUGUUCCAAGAUAACAACAAUGAAAUUGUUAUUUGCUUGAUAAGGUUUGCUAAGAUCACCUUUUUCAGAGGUAUACAUUAUAUGAUUUCAAACCAUCCACUAUAUCUAAAUCCUUAAGUUGUUUUAUUUAAUUAAACAUUUGCAUUCAUCUUUAGGUGAAGUACAAGUCAGCAAUGCUUUUGAUGCUUCAAUCGUGGCUAUAAACCCAAAAUUGGAGGAAGCAAUUGAACUGAAAGAAAAGUAAGUUCAUAUUACUAUUUUAUGAUGCUAGAGCCUUUAUUUAUUUGUACUUAUAUAAGUCUAAUCAUAUAUUAAAACAUCCAUGUUAGGAUUUUGGCGAAUGAUCUUCCUCUGGCUCUUAUUGAGAAAAGAGAGGAAAAGAAACUUACCAAGAAACAAAAACAAGAUUGGGAUGAGAUUCCUGUUAGAGCAAUUUCUGAGAUAUUGGAAGCUACUGAGGUAAAUUGCAGAUGAUUCCAAUUCUUUGAUUGUUUUAAAUAUAUUGUAUCUCUAAUCUAAUUCUGCGUGUGUAUAAUUUUUCAGGUUGAGAGUUGCAAAAUCAUUUGUUCUAUUGAGUCAAUAGACACUGAUUGGGGUUGGUUCUACUUUGGUUGUAACCGAAACCGACACAACCGACGUGUUACUAAGCAAGUUCCUAAACUUUCUAUUGCUGGUUCUGUAAUGUCAAAUCCCAGCCAGAAACCACUUUUCUAUUGUGACAUAUGUCGUGGGAUUACACCUGAUGUCUCUCCAAAGUAAGUGACAGAGCAUUUUCUGUUGUUUGUCUUUAAGUUAAUUUACAGCAGUAAGUAUUUUGAAUACUAAAAAUGUAUUUUGUACUGUUAGGUACAAACUUCAUUUGUUUGUUAAAGAUGAUAGCGAUUCAUGCAUAGUAAUGAUGCUUGACUCUGUUGCUCAAUCUAUUAUUGGUAGUGCUGCAACUGAACUUUGGGAUGGUUCCUAUGAUGAGAUACUUUUUUUCUUUUAUUAUGAGUAUUUUUGAUCCACUAUGUCUAUCCUAAAAUCUAAUGUUUUUUGGCAUUCGUCUUUUAGAUUGAAGAUCCAACUAUCCUACCUCAGCCUAUUGAAAGUUUAGUUGGAAAAUCCUUUUGUUUUGGUAUUUCGCUAAGCACUGACAAUGUAAACAAUGGAAAUACCACUUUUAAAGUGUCUGAGGUCUGGUCUGGAGAUAAAAUUCAGAAAAUUGAAUCUCAGACAGAGCCAUGCUCCUUGCUGGACACUUAUUCGUCAACUCUUUCUGGUGGUGAGGUAAAUUAUUUUAGUUUGUUACUUAUUUAAUUUAUUCCCAUGGUACAUCAGUAUCAGUAAUUGGACAAUCUGCAUUCAAACUCUAACACAUGCGUUGAUGCUUAGGUUUCCCUGGUAGAUCCAAACAAAGAAAGUUCAUCUGAAGGUUUUUCAACCCCAUUCUCAAAGCGCAAAGAAGCAGAUGCUGAUCUAUUGGACAUGACAUCUACGUCUAAGAAACCUUGCACUCAGAAGAUCAAGAUGGAGAAUACAAAGACUGAAGAGUAGUUGAUGACCUUGAUGAUUUGAUGUCGUCUUUUGAAAUUUGGGAGCUUUUAUUUUUAUCUAUUUUAAUGUUGUAUGCGUGAUUUUCAUUUCAUUGGGUUUUGGAUGGUUUUUUCCCCUAAUUUUUAAAAAUAAAAUUGGUUUUUUCUAUA